rnacentral:rRNA from 1 species
UUUGAUCAUGGCUCAGGACGAACGCUGGCGGCGUGCCUAAUACAUGCAAGUAGAACGCUGAAGAGAGGAGCUUGCUCUUCUUGGAUGAGUUUGCGAACGGGUGAGUAACGCGUAGGUAACCUGCCUUGUAGCGGGGGAUAACUAUUGGAAACGAUAGCUAAUACCGCAUAACAAUAGGUGACACAUGUCAUUUAUUUGAAAGGGGCAAUUGCUCCACUACAAGAUGGACCUGCGUUGUAUUAGCUAGUAGGUGAGGUAACGGCUCACCUAGGCGACGAUACAUAGCCGACCUGAGAGGGUGAUCGGCCACACUGGGACUGAGACACGGCCCAGACUCCUACGGGAGGCAGCAGUAGGGAAUCUUCGGCAAUGGGGGCAACCCUGACCGAGCAACGCCGCGUGAGUGAAGAAGGUUUUCGGAUCGUAAAGCUCUGUUGUAAGUCAAGAACGAGUGUGAGAGUGGAAAGUUCACACUGUGACGGUAGCUUACCAGAAAGGGACGGCUAACUACGUGCCAGCAGCCGCGGUAAUACGUAGGUCCCGAGCGUUGUCCGGAUUUAUUGGGCGUAAAGCGAGCGCAGGCGGUUUGAUAAGUCUGAAGUUAAAGGCUGUGGCUCAACCAUAGUUCGCUUUGGAAACUGUCAAACUUGAGUGCAGAAGGGGAGAGUGGAAUUCCAUGUGUAGCGGUGAAAUGCGUAGAUAUAUGGAGGAACACCGGUGGCGAAAGCGGCUCUCUGGUCUGUAACUGACGCUGAGGCUCGAAAGCGUGGGGAGCGAACAGGAUUAGAUACCCUGGUAGUCCACGCCGUAAACGAUGAGUGCUAGGUGUUGGAUCCUUUCCGGGAUUCAGUGCCGCAGCUAACGCAUUAAGCACUCCGCCUGGGGAGUACGACCGCAAGGUUGAAACUCAAAGGAAUUGACGGGGGCCCGCACAAGCGGUGGAGCAUGUGGUUUAAUUCGAAGCAACGCGAAGAACCUUACCAGGUCUUGACAUCCCGAUGCUAUUUCUAGAGAUAGAAAGUUACUUCGGUACAUCGGUGACAGGUGGUGCAUGGUUGUCGUCAGCUCGUGUCGUGAGAUGUUGGGUUAAGUCCCGCAACGAGCGCAACCCCUAUUGUUAGUUGCCAUCAUUCAGUUGGGCACUCUAGCGAGACUGCCGGUAAUAAACCGGAGGAAGGUGGGGAUGACGUCAAAUCAUCAUGCCCCUUAUGACCUGGGCUACACACGUGCUACAAUGGUUGGUACAACGAGUUGCGAGUCGGUGACGGCAAGCUAAUCUCUUAAAGCCAAUCUCAGUUCGGAUUGUAGGCUGCAACUCGCCUACAUGAAGUCGGAAUCGCUAGUAAUCGCGGAUCAGCACGCCGCGGUGAAUACGUUCCCGGGCCUUGCACACACCGCCCGUC